rnacentral:misc_RNA from 1 species
AGCAGCCGCGGUAAUUCCAGCUCCAAUAGCGUAUAUUAAAGUUGUUGCAGUUAAAAGCUCGUAGUUGAAUUUCGGGGUCAAUAAGUUGGUCAUGCCAAUGGUAUGCACUGGCUUUAUUGAUUCCUACCUCUUGACGAACUGUGAUGCCAUUAAUUUGGUGUUGAAAGGAAUCAGGACUGUUACCUUGAAAAAUUAGAGUGUUUAAAGCAAGCUUACGCUUGAAUACAUUAGCAUGGAAUAAUGAAAUAGGACGUUUGAUCCUAUUUUGUUGGUUUCUAGGAUCGACGUAAUGAUUAAUAGGGAUAGUUGGGGGCAUUAGUAUUCAAUUGUCAGAGGUGAAAUUCUUGGAUUUAUUGAAGACUAACUACUGCGAAAGCAUUUGCCAAGGAUGUUUUCAUUGAUCAAGAACGAAAGUUAGGGGAUCG